UACGGAGGGUGCAAGCGUUAUCCGGAUUCACUGGGUUUAAAGGGUGUGUAGGCGGGUAUUUAAGUCAGUGGUGAAAUCUCCGAGCUCAACUCGGAAACUGCCAUUGAUACUAUUUAAUCUUUGAAUAUUGUUGAGGUAGGCGGAAUAUGUCAUGUAGCGGUGAAAUGCUUAGAUAUGACAUAGAACACCGAUUGCGAAGGCAGCUUGCUAAACAAUUAUUGACGCUGAGGCACGAAAGCGUGGGGAUCAAACAGG
rnacentral:rRNA from 1 species